rnacentral:rRNA from 1 species
AAACGUAUAUAUCAAAAAAGUAAAACAUUUUAAUUUGUUUGAAGAUAGGAGAACCACCUUCUAAGCCUGAAUAUGAUAUAUAGAUCGAUAGUGUACAAGUACUGUGAAGGAAAGGUGAAAAGAACCCUUUAUAACAGGGAGUGAAAAGAUCUGAAACAAAAUACUGACAAGCAAUUGGAGCUUAGCUUUUAUUUUUAAAUAAAACAUAGUGACAGUGUACCUUUUGCAUAAUGGGUCAGCGACUAAAUGAAACAAGUAUGCGUAAGCAGUGAUGUGGACGCAGAGCAAAAGCAAGUCGACAAUGGCAUGAUAUUUGGUUCAUUUGACCCGAAACUAAGUGAUCUUAUCUUGAACAGGUUGAAGAAAGCGUAAUGUCUUUUGGAGGACCGAACCGACGUCUGUAGCAAUAGACGCGGAUGAUUUGAGAUAAGGGGUGAAAGGCCAAUCAAACUUAGAAAUAGCUGGUUCUUCGCGAAAUAUAUUGAGGUAUAGCGUACAUAGAAUUUCUGUUACUGGGGGUAGAGCACUCAUUGAGCUAUGGGGGUCCAAAACCUUACUGCUCUCAAGGAAACUCCGAAUACCAUAUAACAUGAUGUGUGUGCAGUCAGACAUAUAGUGCUAAGGUUAUAUGUCGAAAGGGAAACAGCCCAGCCUGGUCGCUAAGGUCCCAAAGCAUUCUGUGAGUGGGAAAAGAUGUGAUACAACAAUGACAACUAGGAGGUUGGCUUGGAAGCAGCCAUUCUAUCAUGAAAGCGUAAUAGCUCACUAGUCGAGUUGUUUUGCACUGAAAAUGUAUCGGGGCUGAACAGAAACACCGACGCGCUGGUUUUAUAUUUUAAAAGGUAGCGAAGCGUUUUGUACGCCAAAGAAGUAUUUUCAGAAGAAAAUACUGAGGUAUCAAAAGUGACUAUGCUGACAUGAGUAACGAAAAUCAUGUACAAUCAUGAUCACCGUAUGUUCAAGGGUUUCUGCGUCCUGGUUUACAGCGCAGAGUUAUGUCCGGUCCCUAAGAGACACACGCACUCGUGUGCUUAAUGGAUGUCAUUUAUGUAAGACGGUACGUACUUCUAAAAACUACAAUUGGAUAUGGUGUAUAGUAAGUAGGUAUCCAGGAAAAUUCAUAAAUAUAUUGACCGUACCCUAAACCGACACAGGUGAACGAGUCGAAUAGACUCAGGUGAUGAGAGAACCACAUUGAAGGAACUCGGCAAAAUAUUCCCGUACCUUAGGAAGAAGGGAAGCCAAAAAUGGUGACACAAAAAUGGGGGUGACGACUUUUUACUAAAAAAUUAGGACUCUGCUAAAUGGUAACAUGACGUAUAGGGUCUGACGUCUGCCCGGUGCUAGAAGUAUAAAAGGAGUGUUGAAAGAUACGAAUGGAAAGCCUAGUAAACGGCGGUUGUAACUAUAACAAUCAUAAAGUAGCGAAAUUCAUUGCCAGCUAAUUCCUGGCCUGCAUGAAAGACGUAACGAUUGCCCCACUGUCUCCAGUAUGGACUCAGUGAAAUUGAAUUCUCCGUGCAGAUGCGGAGUACGUGCCCCAAGACGAGAAGACCCUGUGCAUCUUUACUGUACAUUUACAUUGACAAAACCAUACGUAUGUGUAGGAUCUGUCUCUUAUACACAUCUCCGAGCCCACGAGACGUAGAGGAAUCUC